AUGAUGAGGACUCUGAGGAAGAGGAGAUGGACACCACCCCGGCACCCGCAGCAAAGAAAGCAGGCAUGGUCAAGGCUAAGGAGGAGUCUGAUGAUGAAGAUGAUGACGAAGACUAUGAUGAAGAUGGAAGUUUGGCUACGUAGAAGGACGGAGGACAUGCAGACGGCCUUGGAGCUGAACGGCAAGAAGUUCAUGGGACAGGAGUUGAAGAUGGGGAAGGCCCGCAGCAAAGGGAACUACCAGGAGGAAAAAGAUGAAAACACAUGUCCGGGUAAAGUGUAUACAUCUGGGUCGGAUAAAACGGCUACUUCUGGUCUGCUCGUGUUGACAUCCACUGAUAUCUUGCCACGUAAAGAUCUUGAACAAGAGGUGUGGGCCAGACUUUCAGGAUGA
rnacentral:lncRNA from 1 species